rnacentral:rRNA from 1 species
CCUCCGGGCUGCAGCAGUGGGGGAUAUUGAACAAUGGGGGAAACCCUGAUGCAGCGACGCCGCGUGAGUGAAGAAGUAUUUCGGUAUGUAAAGCUCUAUCAGCAGGGAAGAAAAUGACAGUACCUGACCAAGAAGCCCCGGCUAACUACGGGCCAGCAGCCGCGGUAAUACGUAGGGGGCAAGCGUCAUCCGGAUUUACUGGGUGUAAAGGGAGCGUAGACGGUUAUGUAAGUCUGGUGUGAAAGCCCUGCGCCCAACCCCGGGACUGCGUGUGAAACUGUGUAACUGGAGUACAGGAGGGGCAGGCGGAAUUCCUGGUGUAGCGGUGAAAUGCGUAGAUAUCAGGAGGAACACCGGCGGCGAAGGCGUCCUGCUGGACUGAAGCUGACGUUGAGGCUCGAAAGCGUGGGGAGCACACAGGAUUAGAUACCCCAGUAGUC